AUUUUUAAAAUGUUCAUGGAACUAAAUUUUCAUCAUUUACACAGCUUAUGCACUCCCUCAUGCUCAUGACAUGCUAAACUAUGUUAACAUUGUAUGUUCCCUUCUAAUUCUUAAUCUCUUUUUUCCAUUGAAAUGUCAUUGUUUGACAGUGUUUUCAGUCGCGAAGUGCCCAGAUUUCAACAUCAUCAUCCAAGUAUAACCACCCAACAAGUGCUGUCCACUUCCGAGCUGCAGAUCUCUUAGAUACACGUCCCAAGAACACAUCCAAUUUUGCAGCAAUGCUGCAUUGCCAUGCUGUUUUUAAUAAUUGCUGAACAAUAGUUUCGUGUCCUUAAUUAAGGUGGCAGCUGAUAACAUAGCAAUGGAAUGCAAAAUACUGGUAAAAAUGCAAUUCCCACACACGAGAAGGGUGUAUUUGUAAGAAGGGGUGAACAGAACAGGUGACCAAAAUUGACCAACUGAGUCAUUCACCCUAUAUAAGUGAGGGAUCACCUGAAGAGGACCCUGCCUGUUGUCCCUGUGAUCUAAGGCCUGGUUCCAGUGACUCCUGAAUCCAGGUCUGGUUUGCUGUGGAGUUCAGCCCAGGACUUCUGGGUGCCUGCCCUGCAGCUGCUGGAGCGGUGUGAAGUGGGGAAAUUCAAGGUUUCUCAUGGUCAGUAUGAUACUAAGACCCACACAAAGGAAGCACCAACUUCUUUCAUCUUUUCCGGCUAGAGGACAACACAAGGAAUGAAAACAUUGGAUAGAAUGUCUGAAAACAUUACACAGAAUUUUCUACUGGCUUUUUUGAUAACCUGAAUCAGGAUGACCAGUAAAGGAACUGGGAUUUGCUUGGAGCCAACAGACAAAUCUAGAACAACUCAUCAAGCUUGAAAUUAAAAGAUUUACAACCAUCACUCCCAGCAUUUUGACAGUCAUUCUAGCAAAUGAAUGACUGUAGUACUUAUUUCUGGGAGACAAAGGGGGCACAGUCUGGAACAUGUCAGAAGAGGUCCAGUUUCAUUUUAAAAAUUUCUGAAUUCAAAACCAAGCUCAUUUUGACUUGGAAAGAAACAGCUCUCUCAAAAUAUUUUGCCUGGUUCCAAUCACACUUAAUCACUGGUUGCCACAGAAAUCUUCCUCAGGGGGAGUGUUGGAGCUUUCUUUGCUUGAAAUGCUGUUGUCCCUCUCUUGCACUGCUCAACAGCACACAGACCAUUUAAAAUUUAUUUCUAAAACAAGAUUUGCUUUGUUUGGAUUCCUCCACUGACUAAAUUCAGACAUCACAGAAGCUGAUGCAACUGGGCUGACUCAUGACACCACUGAAUUUUUUCAAAGUCUAUUAUUAUAAAGUAAGAUCUACAUCAGUUUUAUCUCCCUGAGC
rnacentral:lncRNA from 1 species